rnacentral:rRNA from 1 species
UACAGAGGGUGCGAGCGUUAAUCGGAAUUACUGGGCGUAAAGCGCGCGUAGGCGGCUUUGCAAGUCGGGUGUGAAAUCCCCAGGCUUAACCUGGGAACUGCAUUCGAGACUGCAUUGCCAGAGUAUGGGAGAGGGAAGUGGAAUUUCCGGUGUAGCGGUGAAAUGCGUAGAUAUCGGAAGGAACAUCAGUGGCGAAAGCGACUUCCUGGACCAAUACUGACGCUCAUGUGCGAAAGCGUGGGGAGCAAACAGG